rnacentral:rRNA from 1 species
UACGUAGGGUGCGAGCGUUGUCCGGAAUUAUUGGGCGUAAAGGGCUCGUAGGCGGUCUGUCACGUCGAAAGUGAAAACUCAGGGCUCAACCCUGAGCCUGCUUCCGAUACGGGCAGACUAGAGGUAUGCAGGGGAGAAUGGAAUUCCUGGUGUAGCGGUGAAAUGCGCAGAUAUCAGGAGGAACACCAGUGGCGAAGGCGGUUCUCUGGGCAUUACCUGACGCUGAGGAGCGAAAGUGUGGGAGCGAACAGG